ensembl:lncRNA
GAAAGACACAGUGGAAAUAGUUAUGGGGACACAAAGAAUGAAAAAACUCACAUCAUGGGCACAGCCAUAAAAAUGAGAUUAUGCAACAGUGGCUUCCAGAAAGAGGGCAAGGAGUCUCACAGGGAGUCACACGACCCCCCCCUGCCUUCUGAUCACAGUGUUCUGGAAGUCAAAGUUCAAGACAGGGUUCAAGGCUGGCCUUGAACUCCCUAUGUAGCCCAGCCUGGCCUCGAACUCAUGACCAUCCUCCUGCCUCAGCCUCCCGAGUGCUGGGAUUACAGGCCACAGGGUUAUAAGGUGUGACCAACACGACAGUGAAUGGUGCUGCCAGGUGCCAUCUAACAGGAAGGCAGCUUGGAGAAACACGGCGCUGUGUCCUCAUCCACCUUCGUCACCAGAUCGGGCACCCUGUGACUCCUGGCUCUUCCCCAAAGCCACAAUGACCAGGAAAGGGAGACGUUUUGAAUCCACUCAGGACAUCGAGGCAGCCAGGACAGCGCAGCUAAAGACCCUCAGGAAAGAGGACACCAGAGCUGCUGCAGAAAUUGACAAGGACGAUGGGAUGAGUGUGCUGGAAGCGAGGGGAGGAUUUUGAGGGGGAUUAUGGGGAUGGGUAUUUUCCUGUAAUCAAUUUUUAAAGCUUAAACAUUCACCAUAUUUUUCUAUCACACCCUGUAAACCAUGACCUCUUCCUGUUGAGAGUCCCUCUGCAGGAAUCAAGAGUCAUCAAUCCCGGGUGCAGUGGUUGCCAUGCUGAGCCCGCAGCUCCCAGGCCAGCUCUGUCCCCUCUCUGCAGAUCCAUGAUGCAGAUAGAGCACCUGCUGGGACACAGAUUGUGUGUUCCCAGGAAACCCAACCAAAACAUCUGACUGCUCCAGGGAUGGUAGAAAUAGUCUGGGCUCCCACAUGGGUGACGCUGACAAAGAGCAGUCCCUGUUCCACCUGACCUCACGUGGCACAGGUCAUGUGGCUCAUCAGUCAUCUCCACGUGGGUCGGGGGAGCCCCCACCCAGCUGGAAUGGGACAGCUCCACGAGAGGGGAAAGAGCAGCCUGGAUUCUAGUACAGCAGACGGAGCACCUCCGAUGUUGGGGGCAACUUGGCCCGGGUACCCCAUCAUUCCUGCCUGUGGAUUUUAAAUAGCUGCCCUGUUCAGUUCUUAUCAGGCCUUCUCCCAGCCUUUGCACCUGGAUGAAUCUCUUCCUUCCUUCCUUCCUUCCUCCCUCUCUCCCUCCCUUCCUUCUUUCCUCCUUUCUUUUUUUUCCAGUACUGAGCACUGAACCCAGAGGUGCUCUACCACUGAGCGACAUCCCCAGCCCUUUGCAAUGUUUAUUUUGAGACAGACUCUUGCUAAGUUCCGCAGGCUGGCUCUGGCCCCUGCAAUUCUCCUGUCUCAGUCUCCUAGUGCUGGGUUUAGAGGUGUGUACCACUAGGCCAGGCAUGGAGACACAGUUCUGGGCUGGCACUCAGCUGGACAGCACCGUGCUGAACACCAGCGUGGGCCAGCUGGUUGGUGAGACUUCACUGUGCAUAGAGAGCAGAUGUCCCCGGAACCCAGGGAGAGCCCAGGGGUGAAGAAAACUGGCUGCAGCUGUGGGCCUUUUUCUGUGAUUCAAGGGAGUUGUAGAGACGACCACCACCCCAAUCUGUGUGGCUACCAGGAC